rnacentral:tRNA from 1 species
UUCCCGAUCGUCUAACGGCAAGGACUGCGGACUCUGACUCCGUAAACGUCGGUUCGAAUCCGGCUCGGGAAG